CAGCAGACAGUUAUCCCUUUCUAGUCUGGCUUGUGGGAUUCUAGAGGGAGUCAGUUUGUAAUAGCGAGUGGUAAGUUCUGUCCAGAGUCAGCGUUUUGUGGUGGCUUUAGGCUUGCCAGAUAUCA